rnacentral:rRNA from 1 species
GAUGAACGCUAGCUACAGGCUUAACACAUGCAAGUCGAGGGGCAGCAUGGUCUUAGCUUGCUAAGGCCGAUGGCGACCGGCGCACGGGUGAGUAACACGUAUCCAACCUGCCGUCUACUCUUGGACAGCCUUCUGAAAGGAAGAUUAAUACAAGAUGGCAUCAUGAGUCCGCAUGUUCACAUGAUUAAAGGUAUUCCGGUAGACGAUGGGGAUGCGUUCCAUUAGAUAGUAGGCGGGUAACGGCCCACCUAGUCUUCGAUGGAUAGGGGUUCUGAGAGGAAGGUCCCCCACAUUGGAACUGAGACACGGUCCAAACUCCUACGGGAGCAGCAGUGAGGAAUAUUGGGUCAAUGGGCGAGAGCCUGAACCAGCCAAGUAGCGUGAAGGAUGACUGCCCUAUGGGUUGUAAACUUCUUUUAUAAAGGAAUAAAGUCGGGUAUGUAUACCCGUUUGCAUGUACUUUAUGAAUAAGGAUCGGCUAACUCCGUGCCAG